UACGGGGGGAGCAAGCGUUGUUCGGAAUUACUGGGCGUAAAGCGUGCGCAGGCGGUUGUGCAAGACAGAUGUGAAAUCCCCGGGCUUAACCUGGGAAUUGCAUUUGUGACUGCACGGCUAGAGUGUGUCAGAGGGGGGUAGAAUUCCACGUGUAGCAGUGAAAUGCGUAGAUAUGUGGAGGAAUACCGAUGGCGAAGGCAGCCCCCUGGGAUAACACUGACGCUCAUGCACGAAAGCGUGGGGAGCAAACAGG
rnacentral:rRNA from 1 species